UCCCUCAACCGCGUCUUGUUCUGCCUCUUGCCCCCUCAGUGCCUCUCUCUCUCUCUCUCUCUCUCCCUCUCUCUCUCUCUUUCUUGUCUCCAUGCUCUCAUCUCUCUUCCUUUUCUCACUGGUUCAGUGGAAAACUCAAUGGCUUCAUACUGCCUAGAAAAGUAGCUAAUGACAUUGUACGUUCGGUAGGGCCAAAUUUUUUUUUCCAUGAAGCACUAAAUAUAGAUGGUAAACACAAUUUCAAUUGAAGAUGGGGCUGCCCCAGAUGUCUUGGGGAUACACCAUUACUCCACAUGACCCAAGUUCACUUAAGUUUCAAUACUAAAUUAACAUUUCGAUGAGUGGGCUUGAUGGGGGCAUACGCCCCAUUGUUACCCGACCUUCCUUCUCCCCAGUGUACAUUGCUUCUUUGACCCUUUAUCCUCUCUGUCUCUUUCAAAGCAGCAUGGAAAGGCUUUGGUAAGACGCCAACAGGAGAGGCGAAGCUGGAUAGUGAGUGCAUUUCUAAAGAUCAAGCUGCAUAUUUCCAAACACCUGCUGGGAGACAAGACCUGGCUUUCUGUAACGUGGAUGCAGGUAAUUUGUAACAUUGUUCUACAUGUUACGGAUUGUGUCAUCAGGAAUGUUGUCGCUCUUCGUUAUCAAUGGAAUCGACCACGUACUGUUUGAUAGCACACGUGGUAACGUUAAGGCUGCAUUACAGAAUAUCUUCAAUUACGUGUUGUCAACA